rnacentral:rRNA from 1 species
CUUAACGGAGUUUUUUAAAGUAUGUUUUUGUACCGAAAAGUUUUGAUCUUAGAUUUAGUUGUUUAGAAGUGUUGUUUUGGUCUGGGUAAGGUCUUGUAAACAAAAUUUAUGUGGUGAUAAAUGAGUCGUAAAGCUUUAUAACUGUUUGGUUGUUUAGAAUUUAGUGGGAUGUAGGUGGCUAUUAGGUCAUUUAUAUUUUUAUACAUUUGGUGAUGUGUGGUUUUUGAUAAGGUUAGAGGUACCUAGUUUUUGUUAUAUUGUUGUAAAUAUGGUUUUGUUGGUUUAUUGGUAUGUUAAUUGUUUGAACAACUGUUUUGCUAUAUUUGGUUAUUAUAUUAUCGUUGAAUAAGUAAUUUUAUUAUGCUAUUUAUUUCUUGAGUUCUUUCCGUCUGUUUAUUAAAAACAUUUCUAAUUUUAAUUGUAGUUAGUAGUGCCUGCCCAAUGUUGGUUAAUUAAUGGCCGCAGUAUAUUGACUGUGCAAAGGUAGCAUAAUUAAUUGCCUUUUAAUUGGAGGCUUGUUUGAAUGGUUUGACGUGAUUGGUAUGAAUAUUUGGUAUUUAGUUGAAAUUGAUUUUGAGGGUUUAGAAUCCUUAAUGUUUAAUAAGACGGAAAGACCCUAGGAUCUUUUGUUUUUGUUUGGGGCAAAUAUGGUUGUUAUUUGAAUAUUGUGACCCU